rnacentral:rRNA from 1 species
CAUAUUCAAUAAGCGGAGGAAAAGAAACCAACAGGGAUUGCCCUAGUAACGGCGAGUGAAGCGGCAACAGCUCAAAUUUGAAAUCUGGCCCUCGGGUCCGAGUUGUAAUUUGUAGAGGAUGCUUUUGGUGCGGUACCUUCCGAGUUCCCUGGAACGGGACGCCAUAGAGGGUGAGAGCCCCGUCUGGUUGGAUACCAAUCCUCUGUAAAGCUCCUUCGACGAGUCGAGUAGUUUGGGAAUGCUGCUCUAAAUGGGAGGUAUAUGUCUUCUAAAGCUAAAUACCGGCCAGAGACCGAUAGCGCACAAGUAGAGUGAUCGAAAGAUGAAAAGCACUUUGAAAAGAGGGUUAAACAGUACGUGAAAUUGUUGAAAGGGAAGCGCUUGUGACCAGACUUGGGCACGGUUAAUCAUCCAGCGUUCUCGCUGGUGCACUUGGCCUGCCCAGGCCAGCAUCAGUUCGGCGCGGGGGAUAAAGGCUUCGGGAAUGUGGCUCCUCCGGGAGUGUUAUAGCCCGUUGCGCAAUACCCUGCGCUGGACUGAGGUUCGCGCAUCUGCAUGGAUGCUGGCGUAAUGGUCAUCAGCGACCCGUCUUGAAACACGGACCAAGGAGUCGUCCUCGUAUGCGAGUGUUCGGGUGUUAAACCCCUACGCGUAAUGAAAGUGAACGCAGGUGAGAGCUUCGGCGCAUCAUCGACCGAUCCUGAUGUUCUCGGAUGGAUUUGAGUAAGAGCAUACGGGGCCGGACCCGAAAGAAGGUGAACUAUGCCUGUAUAGGGUGAAGCCAGAGGAAACUCUGGUGGAGGCUCGCAGCGGUUCUGACGUGCAAAUCGAUCGUCAAAAUAUGGGCAUGGGGGCGAAAGA